rnacentral:lncRNA from 1 species
AUGAAUCAGUCAGCCAUAUUUAAUGCUAUAAAUAAACAAAAAAGACGCAACUCAAUUAAAAAAAAAAAAAAAAAUAAAAAUAAAAUAUAUACUUAUGAAAAUAAAAAAUUAUUGCACAUGGCUUUAUUAGCUAGUAAAAAAAAUAUUGAAUGGAGUAAGUUAGAUUCAACUGCUAGUUCUGACAUGGUUACUCAUGGUGGUCAAAAUAAGGAUGGCGAUAUUAAUAGUGGUAAUGAUGCUAAUAACGAUGAUGGUACUGAUGGUCGGCCUAUUAACACUUAUUUUAGUAAGAUAAAACCAAAUACCGUUUUUAUAAAAAAUAAUCAAAAUGAUGAUGAUGAUGAUGAUGAUGAUGCGUGCUAUGGCAUUGCUAAUGGAGAAGAGAAAAAAGAAAAAAAAAAAAACAGUAUUAUUGAUACGCAUGUACUGAAAAACAGUAAACAUAAUACAAAUAAUAUAAAUAAUACAAAUAAUACAAAUAAUAUAAAUAAUACAAAUAAUACAAAUAAUAUAAAUAAUACAAAUAAUAUAAAUAAUACAAAUAAUACAAAUAAUAUAAAUAAUACAAAUAAUAUAAAUAAUAUAAAUAAUACAAAUAAUAUAAAUAAUAUAAAUAAUACAAAUAAUAUAAAUAAUAUAAAUAAUAAUAGUAGUAAUGGAAAUAAUAAUAAAGGUAAUAGUAAAAAAAGCGAACCUUAUUAUAAUGACACUGGCUGUAGCAAUAGUAUGAGCAACAGUAAUAAUAAAAAUGUCAGUUUCAUUUGGAAAUCAAAACAAGGUGACAAAAAUAAAACACGCACACACUCCGACGAACUCGAAACAGAAAAAAAUGAAUACAUUGUCAUUGAUACUGAAGAUAUGAAUAAUAAUAAUAAAAGUAAUAAUAAUAAAAGUAAUAAUUGUAAAACUAUGCCACAACAUAAUCAUAACCUGAUCCUACGAAAAAGCAUUAGUGAUAUCACAAACCAUUUAAAAAAAAAAAAUAAAAUAAACACAGUUUAUAAUAAUUAUGUCACUGCAAAUAAUAUAAUAAAAGAAAAUUUAAAUAAAGAAAAAAAUAUCGAACAUAUAUUUUAUGAUAUAAAAAAUUAUAUAAAAAUUACAAAAAAUAAUGAUAUACAAAUACCAAUCAAAUAUAUAUUAAAACAUAUUGGUAGGUAUAUAUAUGGUGUAGAUUACGAUGAUAGUAUUUUAUCUCUUUUAAAUUUUUUUAAACAUGCAAAUAAUCAUUUUGUUGUUGUAAGAAAAGUUGUAUAUACUGACAACGAAGACCCUGCAUAUUCUCACAUCGGAAUUAUAACAUUAGAAGAUGUUAUUGAAUUAUUAUUACAAGAAGAGAUUACAGAUGAAUUUGAUUUUGGAGCUAUAAAAAAAGAAAUCGACAUUCCAGCAAACUUUGAUUGGCAGAGUUCAGAUAUUUAUAAAGAUGAUUGUAUACAACAACAGUACGACUAUCAUUCAUAUAAUAAAAAAAGCGUAAAAUUGAAAGAUUUUAGUCAUAUAUCUUCAAUCCCUAUUGCGUGUGAUAUAUCAUGUGAUACAUCAUGUGAAUAUUCAAAUAAUUUACAAGAUGAGUACUGUAGACAAAACAAAAACGGAGAUAGAGAUACACAUUUUGACAAAACUGAAGUAGUAGAAGAUAAAAAAAAAAAAUUAGAUACCGUUGCAAAUAUAAUUGACCAAGAAUCGAAACAAAAACUAAUUAUACAAGACUAUACAAAUGAAACUAUUAAAUUUUUAAAAGAAUGUUUUUACUUUAAAAAUAUAGAUACAAAAUUAAUAAAAAAGUGCAUAAAAAAAAAAAAAAUUAGAAUUAUACAUAAAAAUCAGUAUCUACUAAAAGAAAAUACAUUUCUUAAAUAUGCUAUUAUUUUAAUAAAAGGAAAAGUAAGAAAUUUAAAAAGUAAUGUAUGUACGAAUGGGGACAAAUGUUUUAUCGGAUUAGAAGCAUUAGGACCAUGUAACAUUAUUGAAUUAUUUAAUAAUACUAUUGAAAAAAGAAUAAAUGUUAUUAAAAAUUAUGAAGAUUUAUUUUUUUAA